UAAUACUCCAUAGUUCGUUAUUACUGGAAUGUUUUUCGAACGAAAGAUCCGUCGCUUCAGGAUGAGUCUGCGGCCGAUUAGGUAGUUGUUGGGGUAAUUGCCCAACAAGCCUGUAAUCGGUACGGGUUGUGGGAGCAAGAGCCCGGAGAUGGAUUCUGAGACACGAAUCCAGGCCCUACGGGGCGCAGCAGGCGCGAAAACUUUACCAUGCGGGCAACCGUGAUAAGGAAACCCCGAGUGCCAGCACAGGCUGGCUGUCCGCCAGUUUAAACAACUGGCGAAGAAAGGGCCGGGCAAGACCGGUGCCAGCCGCCGCGGUAAUACCGGCGGCUCGAGUGGUGGCCGCUAUUACUGGGCUUAAAGGGUCCGUAGCUUGAUAAUAGGGUCCCUUGAGAAAUCCGCCGGCUUAACUGGCGGGCGUUCAGGGGAAACUUGUUUUCUAGGGACCGGGAGAGGUGAGGGGUACUGCCGGGGUAGGAGUGAAAUCCUGUAAUCCCGGUGGGACCAACUAUGGCGAAGGCAUCUCACCAGAACGGGUCCGACAGUGAGGGACGAAAGCUGGGGGAGCAAACCAGGAUUAGAUAACCCGGGUAGUCCCAGAUGUAAACUAUGUGCGUACAGUGUGU
rnacentral:rRNA from 1 species